AUACUUCAUAUUUUCACGUCAAAUUCUUUCUUUUUACUUAAAAUAGUGAGUUUUUCAUAAUGGAUGAUAUACAAAUAGUGAUAUUUGCCCCUUACAUUAUAUACAAACAGUGACAUUAGUUCACUUCACACAUGUGGGCUGGGCGCCUGAGGUGAUAGAUGCUAAAACCCUAACCCUAAGCAGAGAGAGGCUGGGGGAUCCCUUUUCCCAUUAGAAAACGCAGUCUUGUAUUGGUCCGUUCCUGGGCAUUUCCAUUUGAUAAAUACAUCCCUCCAAUCUAGGUCACGCAUACCAGACACUAAAAUCAAUCGAACACACAAUCUUCAUAAAUUCAUUAAUACAACCGGUCUCUUUCUCUUUAACUGUGCAGCAGCGAUUGCCCUUGCAACAUUCGGUGUUUGUAAUAAUUUAAACUUACAAGUGUGGAGUCUAUGGAGGAGUUCAGAUAGAUCAAAGGCCCAAUCGGGCCCAAGGUAGAAAAAACUCGAAGCGUGCGCAUUUGCAUUUGCGGCGAAUUAGAACCGAUGUUAUCGCCUCGGUAUUCAUGGGUUCUAUCAGAGGGGCGGAAGCCUGGUUCGUCAAGAUCGCUUGCACUGUUUGCGUUCGCGCCAACUUGCUCGACCCCUUAGUGGGUUAUUUCAGUAAUCACCUAACUCCUUCGCUCGUUUACGAGGUCGUCGAUAAGUUAAGCAUUAUUCCCCAUUUCGGCUUCAAGUUCGUUGAAUUCAGCAGACACAAGUUGCACAUGAGUCACUCUUAUUUGACUUAUAGUUUGCUCUUGAGGUCACUCUGCCGAUCCAAUCUUCACCAUACGGCGAAAGUGGUGUACGAUUGGAUGAGGUGUGAUGGCCAGAUUCCUGAUAAUCGGUUGUUAGGGUUUUUGGUUUCUUCUUAUGCCAUUGUCGGUAGGUUGGAUGUUUCUAGGGAAUUGCUAGCUGAUGUUCAGUGCAAUAAUGUUGGAGUCAAUGCUGUUGUGUAUAAUGACUUGUUCAAUGUUUUGAUUAGGCAGAAUAAGGUAGUUGAUGCUGUUGUUUUGUUUAGGGAGCUUAUCAGAUUGCGGUAUAAGCCCGUGACCUACACAGUCAAUAUUUUAAUCCGAGGGUUGUGCAGGGUCGGAGAAAUUGACGAGGCUUUUAAGCUUCUCAAGGAUUUAAGGAGUUUUGGUUGUUUGCCGGAUGUAAUUACAUAUAAUACUCUCAUUCAUGGUUUGUGUCUGAUUAAUGAGGUGGAUAGAGCUAGAAGUUUGCUAAGGGAAGUUUGUUUGAAUGGGGAGUUUGCACCUGAUGUUGUUAGUUACACCAUGAUUAUUUCGGGCUAUUGUAAGUUGAGAAAGAUGGAGGAGGGGAGUUUACUUUUUGAUGAAAUGAUUAAUUCUGGAACUGCACCUAAUACGUUCACGUUUAAUGCUCUUAUUGAUGGCUUUGGUAAGUUGGGUGACAUGGCUUCUGCACUAGCCUUGUACUCGAAAAUGCUUGUUCAAGGUUGUCUGCCUGAUGUUGCUACUUUCACUUCUCUAAUUAAUGGGCAUUUUCGAGUUAGGCAGGUGCACCAAGCAAUGGAUAUGUGGCAUAAAAUGAAUGAAAAAAAUAUUGGCGCUAGUUUAUAUACAUACUCUGUUCUUGUCAGUGGUCUUUGCAAUAAUAACAGACUACAUAAAGCUCGUGACAUUUUGAGACUGUUGAAUGAGAGCGACAUUGUUCCACAACCAUUUAUCUAUAAUCCUGUCAUUGAUGGAUAUUGCAAAUCUGGCAAUGUUGAUGAGGCUAAUAAAAUUGUAGCAGAAAUGGAGGUGAAUAGGUGCAAGCCUGAUAAGUUGACAUUUACCAUUCUUAUUAUUGGACAUUGUAUGAAAGGGAGAAUGCCUGAAGCAAUUGGUUUCUUUGAUAAGAUGUUGGCUGUUGGUUGUGCACCAGAUGAAAUCACUGUAAAUAAUUUAAGAUCCUGUCUUUUGAAGGCUGGAAUGCCUGGUGAAGCUGCCCGCGUUAAGGAAGUUCUUGCUCAGAACCUGACAUUGGGUACUACAUCAUCAAAGAAAUCUUAUCAUGAAACCACAAAUGUGUUUCCAGCUUGUGGAUCAAUGGCAUGCUAUCAUCGGACAGGGUGUCUCUUGUUUCUGGAGAUUAUCAGUAUUUACAUUUGCAUUGCCAUUCCCUCCAAGUUUCUGCUGAUUAUUUUUGGACCUGACAUUAGGCUCGGUAACUUACAAGAUAGAAGGUGGUUGUAUCGUAAAAUUGUUCAACAUUAUUGUCAUUCAUGAUUGUGUAGAAAGAUUUAAAGACUUGGGCCAAAAUGCAAAGAACCCUCUAUAACCACAGUUCGAUUGCAGAAAAUCUCCUGUGGUUCAAAACACAACAGCACAACUCCUUGAUCUUAAGUAAACUGUGUAUUGACUCCAUACAGGUGGUUUUAUGCACUUGCAGUGGUUGAAUUCACUCUACUCUGCAAGACUUGGUAAGCCGCACUUGAGUUGCUGAGUUUUUUUAACCAUAUGGGAGUUUUUGGCAACAUAUAGUUGGUACAUUUUUACAUUUGACUAGGUAUUUAAUCAUGGGGCUUCUCAACAAGAUGCUUUUAUUGAGAUAUCACAACUGGUACAAAGUGCGCUUCAUGGGUACAAGGAUACCCCUCAACCGAUGAGAAGUUGUUUACUCACAAAAUUAGACUUCAAUUUGAUGAACUGAGUUAUUUGAAGACAAACUGGCUCCAUGGCAUUGGAACCAAAGUGUGGCCCUCUAUCAAAGCCUAGCAAGCUUAACUGCGGAGCUAGCAUUGGGGUGGUUUCUUUGAUGCUCUGCUUUUAGUAGGUUAAUAAUCCUAUUGGAUCAUGAUGGUUCAGAGUAAUUUCUAGAAGGGUAUCGUUAUUGGCAGUUUGACGCCCCUUUUUUCUCUAUUUGAUGCACUCCUUAUAAGAAUAAGAUGUCCUAGAUACACUCCUUUUAUAAGUUAUUUAACGAAUAUCUUAUUCUUCAA